UACAGAGGUCUCAAGCGUUGUUCGGAUUCAUUGGGCGUAAAGGGUGUGUAGGUGGCGCCGUAAGUCGGGUGUGAAAUUUCGGAGCUUAACUCCGAAACUGCAUUCGAUACUGCCGUGCUUGAGGACUGGAGAGGAGACUGGAAUUUACGGUGUAGCGGUGAAAUGCGUAGAUAUCGUAAGGAAGACCAGUGGCGAAGGCGGGUCUCUGGACAGUUCCUGACGCUGAGGCACGAAGGCCCAGGGGAGCAAACGGGG
rnacentral:rRNA from 1 species